ensembl:snoRNA
CCUUGCAAUAGAGAUAUUGCAGGAGUGGCUGCUGAGUCGCCUGUGGGUCAGGAGGUGGCAGAGAGCAGAGAGGCUGAGUCUAUGCUCAGUGUUCUGACCUGUGAAGAUUUGAAUAAUCAGUAGCCUAACAUU